rnacentral:rRNA from 1 species
CUUUUACAAUGAAGAGUUUGAUCCUGGCUCAGGAUGAACGCUAGCUACAGGCUUAACACAUGCAAGUCGAGGGGCAUCAGGAAGAAAGCUUGCUUUCUUUGCUGGCGACCGGCGCACGGGUGAGUAACACGUAUCCAACCUGCCCUUUACUCGGGGAUAGCCUUUCGAAAGAAAGAUUAAUACCCGAUAGCAUAAUGAUUCCGCAUGGUUUCAUUAUUAAAGGAUUCCGGUAAAGGAUGGGGAUGCGUUCCAUUAGGUUGUUGGUGAGGUAACGGCUCACCAAGCCUUCGAUGGAUAGGGGUUCUGAGAGGAAGGUCCCCCACAUUGGAACUGAGACACGGUCCAAACUCCUACGGGAGGCAGCAGUGAGGAAUAUUGGUCAAUGGGCGCUAGCCUGAACCAGCCAAGUAGCGUGAAGGAUGAAGGCUCUAUGGGUCGUAAACUUCUUUUAUAUAAGAAUAAAGUGCAGUAUGUAUACUGUUUUGUAUGUAUUAUAUGAAUAAGGAUCGGCUAACUCCGUGCCAGCAGCCGCGGUAAUACGGAGGAUCCGAGCGUUAUCCGGAUUUAUUGGGUUUAAAGGGAGCGUAGGUGGACUGGUAAGUCAGUUGUGAAAGUUUGCGGCUCAACCGUAAAAUUGCAGUUGAUACUGUCAGUCUUGAGUACAGUAGAGGUGGGCGGAAUUCGUGGUGUAGCGGUGAAAUGCUUAGAUAUCACGAAGAACUCCGAUUGCGAAGGCAGCUCACUGGACUGCAACUGACACUGAUGCUCGAAAGUGUGGGUAUCAAACAGGAUUAGAUACCCUGGUAGUCCACACAGUAAACGAUGAAUACUCGCUGUUUGCGAUAUACAGUAAGCGGCCAAGCGAAAGCAUUAAGUAUUCCACCUGGGGAGUACGCCGGCAACGGUGAAACUCAAAGGAAUUGACGGGGGCCCGCACAAGCGGAGGAACAUGUGGUUUAAUUCGAUGAUACGCGAGGAACCUUACCCGGGCUUAAAUUGCAGUGGAAUGAUGUGGAAACAUGUCAGUGAGCAAUCACCGCUGUGAAGGUGCUGCAUGGUUGUCGUCAGCUCGUGCCGUGAGGUGUCGGCUUAAGUGCCAUAACGAGCGCAACCCUUAUCUUCAGUUACUAACAGGUUAUGCUGAGGACUCUGGAGAGACUGCCGUCGUAAGAUGUGAGGAAGGUGGGGAUGACGUCAAAUCAGCACGGCCCUUACGUCCGGGGCUACACACGUGUUACAAUGGGGGGUACAGAAGGCAGCUAGCGGGUGACCGUAUGCUAAUCCCAAAAGCCUCUCUCAGUUCGGAUCGAAGUCUGCAACCCGACUUCGUGAAGCUGGAUUCGCUAGUAAUCGCGCAUCAGCCACGGCGCGGUGAAUACGUUCCCGGGCCUUGUACACACCGCCCGUCAAGCCAUGGGAGCCGGGGGUACCUGAAGUACGUAACCGCAAGGAUCGUCCUAGGGUAAAACUGGUGACUGGGGCUAAGUCGUAACAAGGUAGCCGUACCGGAAGGUGCGGCUGGAACACCUCCUUUCU